rnacentral:rRNA from 1 species
UACGGAGGGGGCUAGCGUUGUUCGGAAUUACUGGGCGUAAAGCGCACGUAGGCGGCUUUGUAAGUUAGAGGUGAAAGCCCUUGGCUUAACUGAGGAAGUGCAUCCGAAACUGGCAGGCUAGAGUACUAAAGAGGGUCGCGGAAUUCCCGGUGUAGAGGUGAAAUUCGUAGAUAUCGGGAGGAACACCGGUGGCGAAGGCGGCGACCUGGGUAGAUACUGACGCUGAGGUGCGAAAGCGUGGGGAGCAAACAGG